CGAGUGACCAUCGACGAAAGUCGACUUCCGCAAGGACACUCGUAGAGGUGCUGCAUGGCUGUCGUCAGCUCGUGUCGUGAGAUGUUGGGUUAAGUCCCGCAACGAGCGNAACCCUUGUUUGCUGUUGCCAUCAGGUAAUGCUGGGCACUCUGCAAAGACUGCCGGUGAUAAACCGGAGGAAGGUGGGGAUGACGUCAAGUCAGCAUGGCCUUUAUGUCUGGGGCUACACACGUGCUACAAUGGCCGGUACAAACCGUCGCGAUACCGCAAGGUGGAGCUAAUCGGAGAAAGCCGGUCUCAGUUCGGAUUGUAGGCUGCAACUCGCCUGCAUGAAGUUGGAAUCGCUAGUAAUCGCGGAUCAGCACGCCGCGGUGAAUACGUUCCCGGGCCUUGUACACACCGCCCGUCACAUCACGAAAGCCGGUUGUACUAGAAGUCGCCAUACCAACCCGCAAGGGAGGGAGGCGCCUAAGGUAUGGUCGGUGAUUGGGGUGAAGUCGUAACAAGGUAAGCGUAGCGAG
rnacentral:rRNA from 1 species